rnacentral:lncRNA from 1 species
UGAAAUGGGAGAUGGGCCCCCAUCUUGUGUGGACGGUCUAGGACGUGAGAACAUCAACUGGCGAGCUGACCAAGACUUAAGUCGAGGCGCCGUUGAUCCGCUAUAAUAGUUGGAUGUUUGGUGGUGAGUUGCUGAACCCAACGAAUACAUUCUGAAGUCGGAUGGGGUGAACGGAUUAGGGUGCCCCUCUCGCAGCGGAGAGCAGGGACUGCCUCGGGAAAGGGGGCCGCUGGUGA